CCAAAGUAAAUAUAUAAGUGCCUGGGUCCUAUACAUGACGCAUGGUUAAUGUAGCUUAAACUUAAAGCAAGGCACUGAAAAUGCCUAGAUGAGUCUACCGACUCCAUGAACAUAUA
ensembl:miRNA